CGUGUGGUGUUCGGCUUAGAAUCGAAUGGCGACACGGCCUAUAAUGAGGU
rnacentral:ncRNA from 1 species